AUUGAACGCUGGCGGCAUGCUUUACACAUGCAAGUCGAACGGCAGCGCGGGCUUCGGCCUGGCGGCGAGUGGCGAACGGGUGAGUAAUGCAUCGGAACGGGCCCAGUAGUGGGGGAUAGCCCGGCGAAAGCCGGAUUAAUACCGCAUACGACCUGAGGGUGAAAGCGGGGGACCGAAAGGCCUCGCGCUAUUGGAGCGGCCGAUGUCGGAUUAGCUAGUUGGUGGGGUAAAGGCUUACCAAGGCGACGAUCCGUAGCUGGUCUGAGAGGACGACCAGCCACACUGGGACUGAGACACGGCCCAGACUCCUACGGGAGGCAGCAGUGGGGAAUUUUGGACAAUGGGGGCAACCCUGAUCCAGCCAUGCCGCGUGCGGGAAGAAGGCCUUCGGGUUGUAAACCGCUUUUGUUCGGGAAGAAAUCCUCUGGGCUAAUACCCCGGGGGGAUGACGGUACCGGAAGAAUAAGCACCGGCUAACUACGUG
rnacentral:rRNA from 1 species